GCACUGCCAUUGAGCCCCCAACAUGCCUGUGCCUGGCCUUGGGGUUCAGGCUGCAGAGCCAAAGCACUGACUCAUGCAUAACUAGGGCCAUUAGCCCGCUCGCCGGUGGCCCUUUUAACCGCAAGCAACAACA